rnacentral:rRNA from 1 species
UACGAAGGACCCAAGCGUUAUCCGGAUUUAUUGGGUUUAAAGGGUGCGUAGGCGGGUUAUUAAGUCAGUGGUGAAAGCCUUCAGCUUAACUGAAGAACUGCCAUUGAUACUGAUGAUCUUGAGUAUGAUUGAGGUGGGCGGAAUGUGUCAUGUAGCGGUGAAAUGCUUAGAUAUGACACAGAACACCGAUUGCGAAGGCAGCUCACUAAGCCAUAACUGACGCUAAUGCACGAAAGCGUGGGGAGCAAACAGG